AUGUCGAGCCGAAUAGCAAGAGGUCGUCACAGUCGUCGUUCUGGAGUGUAAUGGCGAUUCGUUCGGCUUGUUUACCAGCGCCGGAAACUGCAGUAUUCUUGCAUGCUUCCGCUACUUUCAGUGUCUAUGAAACUGCGUUCUUGUGAAUCAACAACGAGCAACUUUUUGUCGAUGUGUUAUGUGUUUCUUGAAAAAGUUGCCGAUUGCUUCUUCGUGUUUUUGUUGACGUUAGUUCCUGUCUGCAUGGAAACCGAGAAUUUUCUUCAGAAAGAGCUUUAAUAAAUACGAAUCAGAAUAGAAAGAGAAAAACGACCCGCUUAUUCGCAUCCGUAAAAUUUCAUUUCGAAAACGUAUCCUUCCUUUUAUACAGAAUAUUAAUAAACGUUCUCUGAGAGCCAACGUUCCACCUCGAAAAUGAUAAAAUGGAAAAUGGUCAACGGAGUGUCGUCGUGUAUUCAAAGUAUAUGCUCGAGAUACGGACGAGUAUCUCGUAAGGAUGCUAAUUAAUUAAGAAUCGAGGAUGCCGAAUAUGAAUUUCUCAGACUUUGCCGGAUUUCCCGCUUUUUAUUCGAAUUAUUUGAAAGCCGUUGCGUUUCUAUGGCGAGUUUUUCAAACGAGAGAUUCGCUUUAUAGAAAGUUCACUCGUGGAAAUGCAAUUUGGAUGGAUAUAAGUCGUGUGAUUCCACAGUAGUGUUAAUUAACACGAUUGGAUGCCACAUGGAUGAAAUUUAACCAACUUGGAUGUCUCGAUGAUUGCACGUGAACCGAGAAAUGAGAAAUCUCAAUCGAUUGGCUAUAUAUACAUACAUAUAUACUUGUCUGGUACACGGCUACACAGGAAUAUAUUUGCAUUUGUGAAAGGAUUAUCAACACAUCUUCUAUGAUUUCAAUUUGAUUAUUAUUAAGUAAAUGGAUAUUAAUAUUGAUAAAUUAUUUAAUUACUUUUUUUUUUACAGAUAAUUUUAUAGAAUUAAAAUUUACAAGGCAUAGAAAUUGAAAGUUGUGCAAAGGUAUACUGACAUAUAAGAUGUAAUCUUCUUUCAUGACAAUUGAUAUAAGAUAUUUUCUUUUUAACCGAAAAAAUGAAAAUAUUUCAUCUAUAACAUUAUCUAUAGGUAAUCACAAUUCAGAGGAAUUGCAGCUGUUAUAUUUAAAUAAUGAUUUUUAACAUUUAUUUAAAAUAUAUAUAAAUCCUCUUACUACUGAAUUCAAAAGUCAUAACUCUAGUCAUUCUUCGUUAAACUAACUGAACUAUGUUAAAAUUUAAAAAAUUUUUCUUAUUUCCUAUAAAAAAAAAAUCAGAAAUAAUUUAAAUAUUUCCAAAGGUAGUUGCAAAUCAGAAAGAAUUGUCACCUAUAGAAAUUUAUAAUAUACAUCUUAUAAAACUUUUAAAUAAUUUUAAAAUGUACACUUCCUUCUUUCCCUCGAUAAGAACAAAUAUGCGAUCGUGACUGGAAAAUGCGUUCUUGGCGCGAAAUGUUAUCGUUCGCUCGAAUCAACGUGUACACAAGAACCAUCAGAGUUUGGCCAUUGUCAAGGGGCAACGAUGCGUGCUCGCUACGACGUUCCGGAAACGUGGCAAGGAUGAAAGGAGAAAGAGAGAAAGAGAGAGAGUUUGGCGAGUCCAAGGAGAAGAGACGUCGGUGCACCGGUUCCAGAUUUACGUUCGACCCGCGAAAGACACGGGAAACGUGCUCGUGUGUGACCCAGAUCGUUAACGAGAUGUUUCGUCGAUUAAAUAAUGGGAGCCCAUUGCGGAUUCGUGAGCGAAUAAGAUGGUCGAAAGUUGUUCUGAAUCGAGGCAAGCGCUUUGCUCGAUCACGACCAUCCUUCACCUCGUCGAACAGGAAAGUUGUGCACUUUUUUUUUUAAAUAAUGUAUCGUAGAGGUCAUUGCAGGGUGAAGAGGAACGAUGAUGCCAAUGAUUUCCGGGAUAUAAUUUUCUUUGGAAAGUGUCUACUAUGUUAUCUUUUAAGAAAGGUGAAAAUUUAGGAAUUAAUGAAAGGGGGAUAAAGGAUGUCUUUUUGCUGUAAAAUUUUAUGAUCAAUCUCUGGUCAUUCUGAUAUAUUUGCUAUAAAUUUUAUCAAAUAGUAUAUGCGGUGUUUGACAUGUAAUUUAUGCCAUAAUUUUUCCUUCAAUUCAGAAUAUUGAUUGAUGAUAUGUAAUCUAUCAAAUUCAAACUUAAAUGAUAUUAAGAUGACUGAAAUGCAAUUAUGAAUUUAUAAGUACGAAUAUGAACAUAUGUGCAUGAAAAUAAUAUAGAGAAGAAAGUACAUAUUAAAAGAGGAAUUAGAAAGUGAAUGAAAAUCAUUAACGUUAAUGUGAAAAAUUAUUGUUCACGGGUAAAGAUUCGAUUUCAAAAUUCGAUUUCAGGCUAUCCAAUUACUCGAUAUAAUGUCAUAAUUGAAGAAACGUGAAACUAAAUGAUACUCGAUAAAGACAAGAAAUAUCGUUGUAAUAGGCGCGUUAGAUUAGUCAUGUCUUUCGAAUUACAACGUGAAAGGAAACGAAUGGUAGAUAUCAUUCAGUCGCGUGUUUAUAUUUAACGGUACAGGUAAUUACGAUCAAUACAACGCCUUAUACUUGUACGUUUAACGGUACAUAUAAUUACGCGCAACAGAAAUAGUGCAUUCCUACUGUCACAGAAAAUACAAUAAUAUCGAACUUAUAUAAUUUGAAUCUCUAUAAUUCAAAAAUUUUUAUAAGACUAAAAUUUUCUUUAUUCGUGUCGUUAUACAUUAUAUCAUAUAUUUAUAGAAGACUCGUAACAGAUAUGGAUUUAUAAAAUUUGUGAAAUAGAUAACUAUCAGCUGAUAGGAUCAGAUAUAUUAUAGAAUUUAUGGAAUUCGAAUCAGAUAUGAACAAAUAAUGAAUAACUUCUUAUUCUGUCAUCUAUGCUUCAUAAAUUUCAGGUUUACGAUAUGUUGUUAAAUUAUUGAGAGUAAUAAACAGACAAAACUAUCUGACAAUAAUAAUCAUAAUGUUCAUAUAAAUUUUCUAGAUAUAAAAAAAUAUUGAAAAUCCAUUUUUACGUUCAAAAAAUAUUCUUGGAUUUUUAUUUUGAAUCAAUAUAUUAAGAGAAUUUAAUAAGCAAUCUUUUAUAAUAUAAUUAUUGUAAAUUAAUUGUGAUUAGUAAUUAGAUUACAUAAUUAUAAAAUAAAGAUUCUUCAUUUUAUUUGAUAUUACAAUAAUCAGACGUCAGAAUAAAAAUUUAUAUUUUUUUGAUCAUGGUUGACAGUCAUCUGGAUCAUUUAUCUCCAAAGUUCCCUAGGCUCAGGAUUCUCUUAGUUCUAGAGUCACUGAGAUAUCAACCUUAAUCCUCAGAUUAGAGAUCAAAUAGUGUCAGUAUCCCUGAAUUAUAGCCCAGGCCCAGAAUUAUGCUUAGGAUUAAUUAAUUAAACCCUAGUAUUAAAGUUAAUUUGGAUUUUGUUUGUAUCAGAGCUUCUUUGUUCUUAGAAUUUUCUCUUAAAGUUUUAGUGAUCGUAUAAUCUGAAUAUUCUUAUGACCAUAAAAUUAUCUUUUGUGUUUUUUUUUUUGUUUUAAGAUCUUCUUUGACUUUGAUGAGUUAAUUUGAAUCCUAAAAAUGUUUUGGAAUAUAAUUAAUUAAAUUAAUCUUGAGAUUAAUGCCAAUAUUCAAGAUAAAAUCAUAAUGAUUUUGAAAUUAAGAUCAUAUAACACCAAUUUUGAUAUUAUGAGAAUCUUUAAUUAAAGUUAAAAAAAAUAUCUUGCUUUGGAUAUUUAUUAAUAUAUUUUCAAUAAUACAAUUAUGAAUCUGUAAUAGUUAUCAAUUAUUAAAUUAUAAUUAUAUAAUGAUAUAAUUGCGCAAAUAAAUUUUAAUAACAGCUACAAUGAAUUUUAAUCACACACAAAUUAAAAAAUUAAGAUAUGAAUAUAUUUACCAAAUUUUAUUUAAUGUACAUUUUUAUUUAUCAAAUAUAAAAAAUCAUAUUUACUUUAACUGGAAUAGACAUUAAAUUUAAUCCAAAAUUUAAUAUUGUUUUAAUUAAUAUCUUUAAUAAACACGAUGAUGACAAAAUAUACACAUCUAACUAUGUUAAAAUAUAAAGACAAAAAUAAAUCAAAAAAGUUUGCAUCGUAAUACGUCAAAAGAUAUCCAAUUUCAAGUAAUGAAAAAAAAAGUAAUGAAUGUUCGAUGGCAUUUUUAUUUCCGGUAUAGAAUAUUUGACAAUUCACCGAAUAAAGAUUUUAAAUUAUUACGAUACAUUUCCGUCCUCACUGUUAUUAUUAUUCGUUCAUCCACGUGAUUUCGCAUUUCAUGUUUAUCGGUCGUUGUUCUCGGCAGAUUAAUCAUCGCGCAUUAUACGUACGUAUCGUGUACGUUAUCGAUCUCUUGACACACAUAUGACCUGAUUUAUAUUCGGAUAACGGUGGAAAAGAAUUAGGUCGUGGGAUGGGUGAAUACGCGAAAUCAACGAGCGUAUCGUUAAGUUCGCGGAUUUAUCGAGAGAAGAGGCGAUCUCUCGAGGAACACUGCUUAAUUAAUUUCAAUUUUCGCUCGUGAAUAAUAUCUCGAAGAAUAAUCGUUGCUAUAUGGUUAAUAUUUUUAAUUGAGAUUUAAUUAACGCGAAUCGCGUUUUCGAUUUGUCGUCACUUUUGCUUGAACAGUUAAAUAAAGUUGCGAAGUACAAUUAUAAGGAUUAUAAGGAUAAAAAUUUUUUGGCUUUUAAUUGAUUCGUUUUUAUCUUUAUUAUUACUAAUAUUUUUUUGUUUAUGACUAAUUUUUAGAGACUUCGAUAUUUAUUUUUAAUUUUUAUUAAUUUGGUUUUACUAUAAUAUAUGUAAAUUUUUCAAUUGAUGUAGAUGAGAGAAUUCAUUCAUUAAAAUUAAUAAUUGUUAGUAUUAUAUUUAAUUUAUGACUUAUAAAAUUUCAUUUUUAACAUUUCGAUUUGUGCAAAAAUAUGUGUAUAUAAAAAUUUUUUAAAUCAAUAUUUGUUAUUUAAUUUUAAAAAUGAUAAUUUCGAAAUAAAUAAGAAUAUGUAUCAUAAUUUCAAAAUAUAUCUAUCUAUUUAAAAUUUCAAAAUAUAUUCAAUUUUUAGAACUAUUUAUUUAUCUUCCUUUUUUUUAUAUAAUUUAAUUAAAAAACUUUUAGGUUAUCUACCUUUGCACAUAAUUUAAAUUCUUUGUGUAUUACUUAAUUAGAUAUUCAAAGUAUUACGCUUUCGUUGGAAUUUACUUCGACAAUGAAUUCCAAUAUUCAAGUGCUUAACCUAGUUUCUGAACUGUAACUGUUUUUAUUUUCAGAUACUGUCUCUGAUAAAUUUGUCUAAUAAGAUCUCCUGUAUUCAAGUUUAUUCCAUUACAAAUUCAUCAUGAAGAUUUAUCUUGACUCAAAAAAUAAACGUUGCUAUUAUAAUUUAUUCAUAUCUUUAAAUUUUAUUAAAAAGAUGAAUAAUAUUGAAAAUUUUAAAUUAUUAUAUAUAAAUGUUAUUAAAAUUUAUUUGUUAAAUUUUAGUGAAAAAAAAAAUAAAAAAAUGAAAAAUUAUUGAUAUAACUAUAAUUUUUCUGUAUUAUACUAUCUAUAUAAAAUCAACCAUUUGAAUAAUUAAAAAUAUCAAUAUCGUAGAAAAGGAUUGGACCCGAAUAUUGACGAAAAAUUAUCACAAUAACUGCUUUUAAGGAUCAUUUUAAUUAAUAGGAUUUAGAAUUUCUGUUGUACAGUAAAUAGCUCAGAUGAAAAUAUCUUUUAAUUUAGAUAUAAUAUAUUUUGCAUGAUACAGAAUACACAACAUGUAAAAUAACAUAGAUUGAUUUCAUUAAGAAAUAUUAAUUGGAAAAGUAUUGGAUAAAAUAUUAUUCCAAAUAAUAGAUAACAAAUAAUAUAAUUUAUUUUAAUUUUUAUGUCAACAAUUACCCAAAGUUUUACUUGUAAUUUUCCUUUCUUUAUUAUAAUUAGUAUAAAUUUGAGAUUUAAGUGUUAUAUAGAUGUACAAAACUUUUAGGUUAUCUAUCAGUUUCUUUUGAAGGUUUGAAAAAAAGAAGGUGAAAUAAGGUUUGAAAUAAAAAUUAAUAAAUGAAAAAAUGUUUGUGUGUAAUUCUUAUUUGAAAAAAAGAAAUAUUUGUUACAUAAUUUUAUUAUUUUUAAUUUAAUUUGUCAUAAUACGAAUUAUGAAAUUAAACUUUGUAUUAAUUUUAUUAAAAUCAAAAAAUUUUUAAAAAUAAAAAAUAAAUAAUUAUUUAUAACAUAAUUAAAAAGUAAUAUUUCUAGAAACUAGAAUUUGAGAGAUAUAUAAAAAUAGAAAGAUGAAAAUAAGCUUUUUAACUUAGCAAUGUCUUCAAAUAUUAACCUAACCUAAAUACUUCCGAUUAAUACUUCCAAUAAACAAAACAAUAUUAUUCAUAUUUUCUUUUCAAUAAUCAACCAAUCAAAACUUCUUCACAAAACAGAAAAAAAAUCUCUCAAAAUCAUAAACGAAGCUAUUUGUUAAAGAGUGACAAUUUUCAACGAACACAACUCGACAAUAAACUGAGAGGGCCGGCCCUGGAAUCGGUUGCCUGUUGGAAAUACCAGCACGUAUCGGCACUAGAGGCACACUCGCACACUGCACUUCUGCAUGGCGGAGUACGAACGGACGAACACACAGUCGGUUGGAAUACGAAUGCUGUGACCCGAGUAAAUAUAUGCGAUGCGCGCCGCUUCCUUGUAAACAAGGGCUGCUAAAUGCCGUGAAGUGGCUCUCCGACUCGGGUCGAGGCCGCGUUCCAAACUUCUCCGUACAACCGUCGCGUCCUCUACCAUCCUGCGAGAACUCUCAAACACUGCGAUGCAACUCGAACGAGUUUCCGCUAUUGUCAGCUCAACCCUGUAGUCUGUUGCUACUCGCCUGCUAAUUUGAUUAUUCCAACCCGAUUCGACGAUGUGGUUUCAUGGCGCCGGCUGUUUCCUCACCUGACAUUCUCCAUCGCUUUUCCUUUACGUUGCAGUUAUGUUGGAUCUUCGACGCGAUGAAUUAAAAGGAACGAUAAUCGUUUUGUUUGUAUAAAAUAAAAGAAUUAAUUUUUCAAAUAAGAUUCAAUUUAAAUUAAUCUUUUGUUAUGUCAUAAUAAUGGAUCUAUGAUAAAUCCAUCUACUAUCUACGUUGAAUUACUAUUUUUAAACUAUAUUAAACCUUCAAAACAAUGAAUUAAAAGGAAACAAAACAACGUUUAAAAGGAACAAUAAUGGUUUUCUUUGCACAAGAAAGGAUUAAUAUUUUAAGUUAUAUUGGAUGUUCGACAAGAUGAAUUAAGUUAAAAUUAAGAAACGAUAAUUAAGAUUUAUAAAAUUCAUAAAAUGAAAAGAUCAAUUUAAAGUUUAAAGUCAUCUUUUAUUUAAUUAUAUUAUUGACGUUGAAUUUGAUAUAGACAACUAGGAAAAUAGUUCUAAACUCUUGGCCAGUACGUCAAAGCAACCGAAUUCAAAACAAGAUUCCAACAACACGAUUCCUAUCAUUCUCCUGUUUCAUCCAUCAGCUUCUCAACUUUCUCAAUCUCUGAAUUGGUUCCUCGCGGGAACAAAUCCUCUCUUGGAUCUCGUACUUUACUUCAAACUUUGGUCUCUCCACGGUAUACCUUUCAACAUUAUACUAUCGAUAUUUUCAAAUCCUAAGGCUCAAUUAACUUUUAUAUUUAUAUUAAAAAUAUUUAAUAUCAUUUAAUUUUAACAAUUUCCUAAUAAUAAAAUUGUUAUUUUUUUAACGAGUAAGAUGAAAAAUUAAGUUAUUAUUAGAAAUGAAAGGAUAUCCUAUUAGUAUAAAGUUUUAUUUUAUAAUCAUCUUUCUCUAAUAAGAAACAGAACAUUCGUUAAAGGACAUAGCUAAUCUUCACUAAACCAAAGGGACACCCGAGACAGAUUCCAUAAGCGUACACAGGCGCGAGUCAUAAUUUAUGGUCACAUUUAUGCACCUCUUUCGCUUUCCCGAUGCACUUUCUACAGACGAUCUCUAUGCUGCAAUGGAGGAGAGACAUCGGGUAUCUCGUUUUCUUUCUCCUCUCCACAUUACCGAUUCCCACUUUCUCCCUCUCUGUCUCACGCAGUCUCUCUUAUUAACUGUCGUUUCUCUCGUUCCGCCUUUUUCUCUCUUUCCACACGGUGCACUAGGCGCACGUUACGCAAUUCCAAAGAUAUAUGGUCGCUUCAGGAAUAUCUUCGGCCGGUCUCACGCGUGGUACCAUUUACUGGGUGGCGAUUCUCACUUUUAUUCGAGUACCACCAAAUAUUUCUAAAUAAUUUCUAUUUUAUCUUCUGAAGAGAAAAAAACGAGAAAGCAAUCAAAAUAUAAAAUAAUCAAUUGAAUGUGACAAUAUCCUAAUCAAAAUACGAUGGAAAAUCAAAGAUAAAGACAUUCCAAUGUCGAUUUAUUCGUUCGAUGUCACAGAUUUUCGAGAUGAUUAUUGGGAUGAGAUUAUAUGGACAGUGAACAGGUGUUGUGCAACGAAAACGCGGAAAUGCAAUGUCGAUAAACUCGCCUAAGCGAGAGAGACCCAGACGACCGGCGUCGCCAGACUCUCACUUGCCUUCCCCUAUCUCCUCUGCCCGUUUCUCUGGCACGUUACAGAAAUACACCGAGAAAAUUAUGUCACUAAUGCGCCUGGAUAUAUCUCUAGGCGUGGAAAAGCCGUUUCGUUGCGUCGUGAGGUUGACUGGAACAUCCUGAGCUCAAAAGGCGGUUGCUUUUCCCUAUUCCAAUGGUCAUUAAAUUUUUUUGUGUUAUUCAUUUUAACAAAAAUAUUAAUUAGGAUACUAAAAAAAGAAUUAAUAAAAAAUAAAAUUGAUAUUUAUUGUUAUAAAUUA